CACUUUCUCCUCCUUCUCUCUAUCUCUUUUUUUUUACAUUUUAAAACCAUACAGUAUAUUUUUUUCAUUUUCAGUUAUACUUCAUCUUUGUAAGUAAGUGAGAAGAACAAUCUUCAGUAAAAGGUUUACCAAUAACGUUCUGUAAGUGUGCUUGUUGAAAGUGGAGAUUUUGCUGUUAACAAAUAUCUCGUAGUUCAUAUUAGUAACAUUUUCCUCGUAUCAUAUACCUAUUGCACCCAGAUUUCUUAAUUUUUUUUUGUUCUCAAUUUUAACUUACGAGAUUUCAUUUGAGUUUUUUCGCCAUUUGAAAAUCCAAACAUGAUUGUGUUGUUGGUGUUAUCAAUGUUUGCAGCCUCAUCUUUGGCCUACUUCCAAGGUUUCAAAUUUUCUUUCACAAACGACACUGAGUUGGAAGUUUUUCGACGUCAAACAUUAAUAAUGAAUUGUUCGAGUUAUGAAGAAAUAGAGUGGCUGAUUCCAGACGAUAGCAAUGCAUUGAUAAAACACGUUUCAAAUUAUGAGGCCAGUAUUUUUAUCAACCAGACCACGAAAUGUGAUAGUGGUGACUACGUAUGUAGAUCCAAAUACAACUGGAAUCAAUUCGCUCGGAUACACAUCAAUGUUAGAGGUAGGUACUAGGUACCUAAUACAAUUUUUACCCUUGCAACUCUAUCAACGUCAGCAGUGCUAAAAAUCUCCAUGCUCGUGAAAAAUUAUUGAAGAAUUGUGUAGAUAGUUGAUCCAUUUUCGUCUUGAAUCCGAAAUUGCUGAACGUGAUUGAUGAAUAGGUUGGUAGGGUAGGUACUAGGUACAAUAAAAAAACCUAAAAAAACAAAAAAGCAGUAGAAAUUUGAAAAAUAGUCAAGCUCGUGAAAAACCAUUGAAAAAUCAAGUACCUAUUUACACUUUUAAGCAUACUUAUAUACGUAGCUGCUCGUGUACAUAUUUUGUGUAAACUAAUAUGAUUGGUAGCACUGCUUAUGGACAGAUCGUUGCUUGCUGUGCGUCAGUACUUAAGUACACAUUAAUUGCGCCUUUCACUUUUUUUUUUUUUUUUUUUAACGUUACUUUGCAUUUACUGUGUUUUUUUUGUAAGCAUUGAAAUUGAGGUUUUGUAUUUGAUCACUUUAACAAACUGUGCUUUUGUAAUUUUGCAUUUGUUGCAUCUUGUUUUCGCACGUUUUAAAAUUGGGAUUUUGAACUUGAUUACUUAAACAGUGCUUUCGUGAUUUUGCUGUCGUUGCAUCUUUUCAAUACCUACUUGAAGUGUGUUUACAUGUAAUUCACUGUUGUUGCCUUUUGUACCACUUGUACCUAAUCGUGUUUUUAAAUUGAUUAACAUUGAAUGUGUGUUUGUGAUCAUCGUGUUCGUGAAUCUUUUCACUCCUAGUACGAUUUCCAGCUUAAGAAUGCAGUCUUUCACAUUUGCUACGGUUUCGUUGGUGAUUUUGGUGUUUGUAUUCUCAUUCUGGGGUAAGUUGAACAGAAGUUUCUAAAUUGACCAAUUUAUAUUUCAUGAGAUUAUUAUAGUUGAUAAGUUUGCAAUUGUGUUUCAACGAACGGAGAGUUUUAACAGAGGUACUCAAAUUUUAUAACAAAUAAUUGUGUUUUACAGGAUUGAAAUACUCUUUUAAGCACAAGGACAGGAUAACACUCCAGUUUGGUGAAAAACUCAAUGCCACCUGUUCAGACGAAGGAGGAGUGAAGUGGAGCAUUCCUCCUGAUAGUUCGGUAUUAAUCGAAAAAAUUUCAGUGUUUGAAGAAAGUGUUGUAUCCAAUGGAUCAGUUCCAUUUGAUACUGGCCGUUACAUAUGCGAAUCGAAAUCCAACCCGGGGGAACGAGCUUGGUUUUCUAUCUAUGUUGAAAGUAAUGGCUAUGUCCGAAUAAAAAAACCAUAGACAUCGAACAUUCUACGGUCGUGUAAUCAUCCAUUUGUUUACUUACUUACCUACGUGUACUCAAAUAGAGAUUAAGUUGUGUACAUAAAUUUUAAGCUACGUUUUUAAAAAUAAAAAAUGAAAUUAGGCCUCUGUUACGUAUAUUUAAAGAUCUCAGCAAAUGUAUAAUGAGUAUUGUAUGAGAAUGUAAAUGUAAAUUUUACCUAUACAAUUGUAACUUGUCCCCACGUGUACGGUGUAUUAUGGUUUGACCGAAAAAUUAGACUAAAAUGUAGUUGGGUGUUAGAAAAUGGAAAAAGUAAUCCCGAUCCAUUAAGUCAAAGUGAUUCAUUCAAAUCAUACUUUAGGAAAGAGAUAUGUAUCGUUUAUUAUGUUAGUCACUGCAGUGUGAGAAGACAUCCGAUUAAUUAUUUUGAUGAGCAAGUUGUAUCGAUAACUUUUAACCCCCUUCAUAAAAAAAAUGUCAUUUAAAUAUUUCUCAACUUCUAUGUAUUGUAUUUUGAUGUUUUUUCCUUUAUUCAUGAACAUUUUAUUUUCUGAAGAAGUCUGGCUCUGUUCAGACAGCGAUAUUUUAUUUAAUCUGAAAGUUAUUUUUUCUUGCAUGUAACACUGCCUAAUACAAAUAUUUAUGACACGUUUGGAGUCCGUUAAUUUGUGAAUGAUUUGAUUUAUAAUGCAUGCAUGAAGAAUUUUUAGAGAAAAUCUUUGAAAAGACAGAAACUUUUUUGAAUUCUUGUUGAAAUAUAUACUGAUAUUCUAUCUUGAAUCUUGAUACACUACCAAUUUUAAUAGAUGUACCUACUUAUAUUUUAUGAGAUUAUUACGGUUUAUAGGUGUGCAAUUAUUGUCUUUUAACAAUGGACAAGUUUUAAUAGAUGUACCUAUAAAUUUUAUUAGAUAUGAUUAUAUGUAUGUUUUACAGGAUUGAAAUAUUCGUUCAAGAACAGGACCCAUCUAGGUGUCCAGUUGGGUCAAAAAUUCAAUUUCAGCUGUUCUGACCAAGCUGGAGUGCAGUGGACAAUUCCACUUGAAAGUUCGGCAUCAAUUAAUACCAUAUCUGUUUACGAAGAAAGUGUCUUGUCCAACGGUACAAUUAUUACGGAUAAUGGCGAUUACAUAUGCCGUUCCAAAGCCAACCCGAAAGAAUUCGUUUGGUUUAACCUCCACAUUGAAGAACCAUAGACAUCAAACAUUCUACAGUCACGUAAUCAUCCAUCCAUCUGAUUAUAUGUGUACUCAAAUAAAGAUUAAGUUGUUUAUAUCGAUUUCUAGCAAUGUUUUUUUUUUUUUGUGAGGUUAGUCAUCAUAGUAAUAAAUUUGUGUUCAAAUCAAUUGAUAAGUAAUGUACUUACCUGCAUUAUUUUUUUAUUAAAAUAAAAAUGUCAUCGCGUGUA